GUACACGUACUCGUACCCGUACCCGUGCUUCAUAGCUUAGAACUCAGCAUGCUCUAUGUGAAUUGAUUAUUUAUCCAAACGUUUGUCAUUUCUUUUUUUUUCAUGGUAAUGCUUUUUUCUUGUUGAAAUUUCUUUUUUUUCAUGGUAAUUAAUUAUUUUUUCUUGUUGAAAUUGAGCUUACUCCAUUAUUUUUGAUUGGCUGGCUUGAAUUAAUUCUCUAAUCCAGCUCUCUCCCCUCCCAUUAGAGAACUUUUCCCUAUAAACAUUAAUUAAUUGUUCUUUUUACAUUGGCGUCACAAUUUAUUUCUUUGUUUCUUGGGAUAAGCUAAAUAUCUUGUUGGGUUACUUGUUUUAAAACAAUGGUUAACAUGGUUUAAAAGGUCUUCAAUAUAUUGGCAUGUCUACUUUUCCCACUGAAUUAUGAUAAUUGUGAAGUGUAAUACAUCUACAGGUUCAAAUCUGUAUACCUAGAUGAUGAUAUUCGAGUUGCAAAAGAUAUCCGUGGAGAUUAUUUAGUUGUUGAUCACGCGCCUUACGAAUGGACAGAAUGAGGUUUCAUUCAGAUGGCACUUUUAACUCCUUGUAAUUAAUCAUGGAACUUCAUGGUUGGAAAGGGUUACUCUGUCGUGUAGAUAUUGUGUCUCUUCUCUGUAUAGUUCAUCAGAAUAUUGAUUUUAAGCUCUCGUCAUUUGUAUAUUGUCAACUUUUACUUAAGAUCUGCUUUCACAGGUAUAUGUUCUUUAGUAACUAAGAGUGCAUAUAUUCUUGGAAAUAGUAGCACAAGGUAAUGAUUCUGGGGUGUGUAUUGUUUAUUUGUUCGUUCAUUCAUUUGUUUGUUCGA